CAGAGGGCCCUGAAGGCGCGGGCUGCGUUCUGCGUCUCUCCGCGAUCUCUGCCGGACCGGAACUAAGACCAGACCAUUUUCUUCUGGAUGACAAUUAUGCUUUGUCUCAAGCACACUGCUAAACCACUGCUGACUUCAGAUCCAGGAAGCUAAGGACAUUAGGUAUUACUAGUAAAGACAACAGAAUUAAUCAGAUCCACUCCCUAAACUUUGUCAUUAUUCAUAACUUUUUCACUUUAGAUAGGUGCUGAGAACAAUUAUUUUUAAUAUACAAUCUAACUUUUAAUUAUAUAUGUGUUUAAAGAUAUCAAAACAAAGAAAAUAAAAAUCACUACUACGAUGUCUCUUACAUGUGUAGAUGUAAUCAUUAUCAUCUUUACUCUUUUAGGGAGUGUUUUUAACUUGUAUUAUAUACUUUAGCAUGUAAUAUAAUAUGUCAAUAUAAAGUAUAAUUUUACUAUUUACGUAUUAUUGUAAAUUUUUUUGCCGAAACACUUUAUCCAGUAACUUUUUUUAGAUAUUUUUUAUGUCUUAAAUUAUUCUCUGGGAUAAAGAUGUAAAUUAUUGUCCACAUACUUAAUUAUUACCUUAAGAGUAAUUCUUAGAUCUGAUUCCACAACCAUUUUUGAGACUUUUGAUAUGCAUUGUUAAAUUUCUUCUACAAAUAACUGUAUUAUAGUGGUAACCUGUGGUGGAAAUAAUUGCAUGUUUUUGUCUACUUUAUUUGGAACACCAGAUUGGAUAUGUUAAUAAUAGCUUUUAAAAAGCACAUGCUACUGAAAGAUUUUGAAUAGUAAAUUCACACAAAA
ensembl:lncRNA LINC02211 long intergenic non-protein coding RNA 2211